rnacentral:rRNA from 1 species
GACGAACGCUGGCGGCGUGCUUAACACAUGCAAGUCGAACGCUGAAGCUCAGCUUUUGUUGGGUGGAUGAGUGGCGAACGGGUGAGUAACACGUGAGUAACCUGCCCCCUUCUUUGGGAUAACGCCCGGAAACGGGUGCUAAUACUGGAUAUUCACUGGUCUUCGCGUGGGGGUUGGUGGAAAGGGUUUUUCUGGUGGGGGAUGGGCUCGCGGCCUAUCAGCUUGUUGGUGGGGUGAUGGCCUACCAAGGCUUUGACGGGUAGCCGGCCUGAGAGGGUGACCGGUCACAUUGGGACUGAGAUACGGCCAAGACUCCUACGGGAGGCAGCAGUGGGGAAUAUUGCACAAUGGGCGCAAGCCUGAUGCAGCGACGCCGCGUGAGGGAUGGAGGCCUUCGGGUUGUGAACCUCUUUCGCUCAUGGUCAAGCCGCAACAAUGGUUGUGGUGAGGGUAGUGGGUAAAGAAGCGCCGGCUAACUACGUG